rnacentral:lncRNA from 1 species
UCACCCAUUCGCAAACGUACUUAAAAAUUACCUCUUAGAGUUGUGCUGAAUAAAUGAAACAGUAUAUUUAAGUCAGUAUUGUGCCUGGGACAUGUAAGCUUUUAAUUAAUGUUAUUAAUUUCAUUUUAUUCCUUUAAGUUGAAUCACUGGCGAAAAACGUGAGAAUGUUUUCAUGCCUUUGGCUACACAUUAAAGCGACCUCUCCAAAUGGGUUGUCGCAUUUUACAUUGCUACCAACAAUGUAACAGCCUUCUAGUUGCUUUAUGCUCCGAUAUACGAAAGAGCCCCACCACUUGAUUGUUUUUCAGUUUCUGACAGCCUCACCUACUUUCUCUUUCAAGUUCAUCUGCCACAUUUUUACUUAUUUUAUUUUAUUUUUUUGAGAUGGAGUCUCGCUUUCUCACCCAGGCUGGUUUCAUUUUCUAUUUCAAAAAUGAGGUAACGGCUGGGUGCGGUGGCUCACGCCUGUAAUCUCUGCACUUUGGGAGGCCGAGGCGGGUGGAUCACCUGAGGUC